GACGAACGCUGGCGGCGUGCUUAACACAUGCAAGUCGAACGGAAAGGCCCUGCUUGCAGGGUACUCGAGUGGCGAACGGGUGAGUAACACGUGGGUGAUCUGCCCUGCACUUCGGGAUAAGCUUGGGAAACUGGGUCUAAUACCGGAUAGGAACCAUCUUUAGUGUGGUGGUUGGAAAGUUUUUUCGGUGUAGGAUGAGCUCGCGGCCUAUCAGCUUGUUGGUGGGGUAAUGGCCUACCAAGGCGGCGACGGGUAGCCGGCCUGAGAGGGUGUACGGCCACAUUGGGACGGAGAUACGGCCCAGACUCCUACGGGAGGCAGCAGUGGGGAAUAUUGCACAAUGGGCGCAAGCCUGAUGCAGCGACGCCGCGUUGGGGAUGAAGGCCUUCGGGUUGUAAACUCCUUUCGCUAGGGACGAAGCUUUGUUGUGACGGUACCUAGAUAAGAAGCACCGGCUAACUACGUG
rnacentral:rRNA from 1 species